CCUACGGGUGGCUGCAGUGGGGAAUAUUGGACAAUGGGGGCAACCCUGAUCCAGCCAUGCCGCGUGUGUGAAGAAGGCCCUCGGGUUGUAAAGCACUUUCAGUGAGGAAGAACGCCUGGUGGUUAAUACCCAUCAGGAAAGACAUCACUCACAGAAGAAGCACCGGCUAACUCCGUGCCAGCAGCCGCGGUAAUACGGAGGGUGCGAGCGUUAAUCGGAAUUACUGGGCGUAAAGCGCGCGUAGGUGGCUUGAUAAGCCGGUUGUGAAAGCCCCGGGCUCAACCUGGGAACGGCAUCCGGAACUGUCAAGCUAGAGUGCAGGAGAGGAAGGUAGAAUUCCCGGUGUAGCGGUGAAAUGCGUAGAGAUCGGGAGGAAUACCAGUGGCGAAGGCGGCCUUCUGGACUGACACUGACAUUGAGGUGCGAAAGCGUGGGUAGCAAACAGGAUUAGAUACCCGAGUAGUC
rnacentral:rRNA from 1 species